GACGAACGCUGGCGGCGUGCUUAACACAUGCAAGUCGAGCGGUAAGGCCCUUUCGGGGGUACACGAGCGGCGAACGGGUGAGUAACACGUGGGUGACCUGCCCUCAGCUCUGGGAUAAGCCUGGGAAACCGGGUCUAAUACCGGAUAUGACUCCAUGACGCAUGUUGUGGGGUGGAAAGCCUUGUGCGGCUGAGGAUGGGCCCGCGGCCUAUCAGCUUGUUGGUGGGGUGAUGGCCUACCAAGGCGACGACGGGUAGCCGGCCUGAGAGGGCGACCGGCCACACUGGGACUGAGACACGGCCCAGACUCCUACGGGAGGCAGCAGUGGGGAAUCUUGCGCAAUGGGCGAAAGCCUGACGCAGCGACGCCGCGUGAGGGAUGACGGCCUGGUGUAACUACUUC
rnacentral:rRNA from 1 species